GCCUUCUUAGCUCAACGGGAGAGCGCUCGAAGUCCUAAUCGAGAGAUCCGUGUUCAACUCGCGAAGGGGGCA